rfam:Atopostipes suicloacalis DSM 15692 genome assembly, contig: EJ15DRAFT_scaffold00004.4
GUACCUGUAGCUCAGCAGGAUAGAGCAUUCGCCUUCUAAGCGAACGGCCGGGGGUUCGAAUCCCUCCAGGUACG